rfam:Flammeovirga sp. SJP92 Scaffold7_11, whole genome shotgun sequence.
UUAGAGUGGAGUCCAGAUACCACUUAAAUCAACGGUGGCAAAUUCCAAAAGCCAUAAAAGUAGGACAAAC